GCGGAUGUGGCGAAAUUGGUAGACGCACCAGACUUAGGAUCUGGCGCCGCAAGGUGUGUGGGUUCGAGUCCCUCCAUCCGCACAA
rnacentral:tRNA from 2 species